GGAAAUGUGGCCGAAAACAGGUCUUACCUUGAUAGGGUAAAUUAUAGAGAUUAACCCCUCUCAUCUCCU
rnacentral:tRNA from 1 species